rnacentral:lncRNA from 1 species
UUCAUGACAUGAUUAGUCACACACUGGUUUAUUCAACCACGCUUGUGCAUUCUCAGAAAGGCUACAUUCAGUUAAGGCCAGCAUUUUAAGUAAGCGUGAAGAGCUGAGAAUCAAAGCAACACCCUGCUCUCAUCCACCUUCCACACCUCAUUUUCUCAUCAUUAGCAUUAUUCUUUAAAGCUUUCUAUGCAAAGGACCAAUGUGAGAAUAAAAAUAUAUGAUCAGGAGGGUAGCAUACUGGCAGCAGCUCAUAUUUGCAUAGAUGUCAUCAGUUCAGCUCAGAAUAUAACAUACAGGAGUUCCCGUCAUGGCGCAGUGGUUAACUAAUCCGACUAGGAACCAUGGGGUUGCGGGUUUGGUCCCUGCCCUUGCUCAGUGGGUUAACGAUCCGGCGUUGCCGUGAGCUGUGUGUAGGUUGCAAACACGGCUCGGAUCCCGCGUUGCUGUGGCUGUGGCGUAAGCCAGUGUCUACAGCUCUGAUUCGACCCCUAGCCUGGGAACCUCCAUAUGCCGCGGGAGCAGCCCAAAGAAAUAGCAAAAAGACAAAAAAAUAAAUAAAAAAAAGAAUAUAACAGAGAUGAUGGAGGUGGAAGAGGCAGCCUUAGGUCCUACAAUGAGAAAUAGGAAAAACAAACCUUAUCUAUUUCACAAACUUGCCUACAUUCGGUCUUAAAUUGUUCAGAUAAUAUCUAAAUAUUCUCAAAGAGAGUCUGGUGAGAAACCAUCAAUCCCAGGCGUUCCCACUGGGAUCGCUGAGGGUUAAGGAUCCAGCUGUAGCCUCUGCAGCAGCUCCAGUUGCUGCUGAAGCAGGGGUUCAACCCCCAGCCUGGCGCAGUGAGUCAAGGAUCUGGCGUACAGCUGUGGUGUAAGAUGCAGCUUCAGCGAAGAUUCAAUCCCUGGCCCAAGUACUUCCAAAUGCUGUGGGUGCAGUCAAAAAGAAAGAAAAAGAAGGGAAGAAAGAAACCAUUGGUCCCAGGGAGGCUGCAUGAAGCUCACAUCUCCUGCAUAUCCUAGAAGGGCAGCACUC